rnacentral:tRNA from 1 species
UCCCAGGUAGCUCAGCAGUAAAGAAUCUGCCUGCAAUGCAGGAAACCCAGGUUCAAUCCCUGGGUCAGGAA